AGUUCCCGGGAGCUUUGUGCCAAGAACCCAGGACUACCAGCCCAGGGAUAGCACCACCCACCAAUGGGCCCUCCCACCCUUGAUCACUGACUGAGAAAAUGCCUUACAUCUGGAUCUCAUGGAAGCAUUUCCUCAAGGAAGAUUCCGUUCUCGGUGAUAACUCCAGCUUGAGUCAAGUUGACACACAAAACCAGCCAGCACAGACUCUUAUCACGUCCUUUCUCUUCUAAUAAACCAAGAGUAAGACCUGUUUCUCUAAAGUUGCUCCCACUCCCGCUGCUGUUACUUAAAAUAGUUUUCCGUGAGACUUCUCUGGAAACACAUACCUUGUUUGUGACAAUUUCAGAGUGACUCCUUUUAACUCAUCCUUGGUGAAGGAUCAGAGGAAACUUUCCAAACUCCCAUAUGCCAUGCUCAAACUCUGCUCCCGAGCUACCCUGGUCAAGUUCGUGAACUAUUACCAGCAUCAGCUAGAUAACAUAAGGCUGCAUUCAUCACAAUGGCAUAUAACUGUUGGCUAUAUAGGAACUAGUUUCAUCUUUUGAAGUCGGUCUACUAAGAAUAUUUGCUUUUUACCAUCACUUUCUUGGAAAGUUCCUCAAGGAUCUGUUCCAGCCAAACAAGAGAGUAAAGCAGAGAACAAGAUCCCCUUGCUCUCCAAUGUGCUGAACUGAAGAUGCUGGGAACUGCCAGCUUCUAUCCCUGUGAUGGUUUGUAUAUUGCACCACGGAAUGGCACCAUUUGGAGGUGUGGCCUUGUUGGAAUAGGUGUGACCUGGUUGGAGUAGGUGUGUCACUGUGGGCUUAAUACCCUCACCCUAGUUGCCUGGAAGUCAGUCUUCCACUAGCAGCCUUUGGAUGAAGAUGUAGAACUCUCAGCUCUGCCUGUGCCAUGCCUGCCUGGAUGCUGCCAUGCUCCCACUUUGAUGAACUCUGAACCUGUAAGCCAACCCCAAUUAAAUGUUGUUUUUAUAAGA
rnacentral:lncRNA from 1 species